AACGAACGCUGGCGGCAUGCCUAACACAUGCAAGUCGAACGAGACCUUCGGGUCUAGUGGCGCACGGGUGCGUAACGCGUGGGAACCUUCCCUUAGGUUCGGAAUAACUCCCCGAAAGGGGUGCUAAUACCGGAUAAUGUCUUCGGACCAAAGAUUUAUCGCCUUUGGAUGGGCCCGCGUUGGAUUAGCUAGUUGUUAGGGUAAAAGCCUACCAAGGCGACGAUCCAUAGCUGGUCUGAGAGGAUGAUCAGCCACACUGGGACUGAGACACGGCCCAGACUCCUACGGGAGGCAGCAGUGGGGAAUAUUGGACAAUGGGCGAAAGCCUGAUCCAGCAAUGCCGCGUGAGUGAUGAAGGCCUUAGGGUUGUAAGGCUCUUUUACCCGGGAUGAUAAUGACAGUACCGGGAGAAUAAGCUCCGGCUAACUCCGUG
rnacentral:rRNA from 1 species